GGAAACGGGCGAGCUGAAAUGCGCUCAGGCAGAGGUGGCCGUGAGUGCAAGGCUCGGCUGCACGCGAGAAUUCGCAGUGAAAGGGUCUGCAGGAAAGCAGGGCUUCUCGUAUGAUGGAAGCAGAAAUUCACCUUCAGAGUUCGUCCCUAAGGGAAACGCGACGGGACUCUAGCAGUUGGAUUUCAGCAAGCUGCUGCUGCUGCACACUCGCGUUUCCCGUUGGAUUUGGUGAGGUCCAAGAGGGUCCAAAGCUCUGUGCUUAAAAAAGCACUUAAGGUUUAUACUAAAGUGGAACUUUGGUCAUCAAUCUGGAGGACUCUGGAAAACGAUGUGAGGUGUUGAGCUGUAGUCUUGCAUCAUAGAAGUGAUCUACUGGGCUGGAAAGCUGGAAAGCAUUAUUUCCUUCUAGCAAUCCACGGGAGCAUAUGAGGAAGGGGAGCCAAUUUUUACACGAAGGGAAACUACUACCAGAGAAGCAGAAAUGCAGAGCAGCCCUGCUACUACUGUGGAUGACCUGAAGUUCUAGGCUGGACCUACAGCUAGAAAUGCUUGCCUUGCUACUUGAUGAGAUACAACACUUCUUCUUCAAGAUUUAAGAUACUGUUCUUCUGGAGGAAAACACUGUAAGCAAUCCGAGAUGCACUUUUUGUUUGAAUCUCCUUUUUCCAAAAAGGUACUGCUGUGGUGUGCUUGGAAUAUUUGGACUUUCCUGUAAGAAUCUAUCUGCCAGUAACACAGGCUGAAAAACGAGGCGAAAAAAACACUUAAUUGCUAUCAAAUUAAUACUUCAUCUUUGUAUCUUAGUGUCAUUUUCUCUUACUGUGUAUUUUGGUAUGCAACAACAGUAAAUAAAGUGUGCUUUUCUCUUAGAUUUGGUUGCUGUUUUUGUUUGGUUGUUUGUUUGUUUUUGUUGGUGCAGGUAGACUUUCAUCCUUUUGCUCUGGAUGGAAUGGAACUGGCCUACCUGCCUGCUUGUAAGACUGGCCUCCAUGUUCCUGUGCUGGAAGAGGACAGAGGAGCUCUGGGAAAGGGCACUGCGCUGUUUUGAACUGGUGUGCUCACACACCGUGGAGCUGCUUCCAUGCCCUCAUAUCACACUGGAGCCUUGGUUAUUUUCUGCGGAUUCUCCUCUGCAGUCUGGUUUGAAGCUUGUGAGCUGAAACCAGUUCCACAGCUUCCCUGGCCAGAAGACAUGCCCCUGUGAGCUGUGAAGUAAACUGAUUGCAGUUGCUCUCACUCUGCAAGAGGAACUAAUGUGGGAGAGAAGCUGCACUCUUCCCGAUUCAGUGCUUAGUUUCAAAAGUGCUCCAUUGACAGCAAGCCAGAUUUCAGCUUCCGAAGCCUCUUCCUCGAUCACCCAUGCAGAACCAAAGGGCUUGUACACACAAAAGGCCUCAGGACUUCAGAACUUGUUCUAAAUCUUCCUUCUCUGUGAUAUUGAAGAAUCAAUACAUUCAUAUUCUAUUUGGAAAAUGGAUUAAAGUCAUCUAUGUAACUUGGUUAAAAGCCCUGGAUUUUCCUAGGACAGCAAAAUACUUUCAACCAACUGAGCAUAUAGAAGUCAAGAAGAUCAAAAGAGUACUACCUUGGUCAUGAGAGGAAGUUUAUGAAGGUGAGCAGUUUUCUUGAAGCUGAACCCUUUCGAAGAUUACUCCUUACUGCAAAUACACAGAAACCUUCGAAGUAUACAAAACCAGCAUGAGAGUCUUAAAAUAAAUAAAUAAAUAAAUAAAAUUAAAAAAA